CCUACGGGUGGCAGCAGUGAGGAAUAUUGGUCAAUGGGCUUACGCCUGAACCAGCCAAGUCGCGUGAAGGAAGACUGCCCUAUGGGUUGUAAACCUCUUUUGUCAGGGAGCAACUCCGGCUACGUGUAGCCGGACUGAGAGUACCUGAAGAAAAAGCAUCGGCUAACUCCGUUCCAGCAGCCGCGGUAAUACGGAGUAUGCGAGCGUUAUCCGGAUUUAUUGGGUUUAAAGGGUGCGUAGGCGGAAUGCCAAGUCAGCGGUAAAAGCGCGGGGCUCAACCUCGCUCCGCCGUUGAAACUGGCGUUCUUGAGUGGGCGAGAAGUAUGCGGAAUGCGUGGUGUAGCGGUGAAAUGCAUAGAUAUCACGCAGAACUCCGAUUGCGAAGGCAGCAUACCGGCGCCCAACUGACGCUGAAGCACGAAAGCGUGGGUAUCGAACAGGAUUAGAUACCCCGGUAGUC
rnacentral:rRNA from 1 species